rnacentral:lncRNA from 1 species
ACUGGUAUUUAAUGCUGAUUAAACCUUGGAAUCACCUGGAGAGCUUGGCCUCUAAUGUUGCCUGGGCUCCACCCUUGGAGAUCCUGAUUUAAUUGGUCUGGGGUGGGGUGCAGGAGUCAGCAUUUUUUUAACAGCUUUCCAGAUGAUUCUUUUCUGUAGCUAGGUUGAGAAGUGCAGGAAUCAAAAACAGUAGAGAUUUCAGGAUAGAAAGAACAGCACAAGGAUUCAUCACUAUUCAAGACCUUACCUUGCUACACAAAACAUCAACAUCUCUGUCCUAUCUGCGUGCUUAGUUCAAUUAGUUUCCUGUGUGACUACGUCUGCUACGGAAAGAAGAUGGAGGUUUCAUCUUGACUCUGGAAAUAGACCAGAAGUCCAAGAAAGUCUUGGGGCCUGCCUUGCUCCCAGGCAAGAGGUCAGAAACCUAUCAGACCCCACAGAAGAAGGAUGGGCGCUUCUCCCAGCUCCCUCAAAGCUGCCCCAACUGCUGAGAGUAAUUCUAAACCUGCAUAUAUGGAAGCCAUCAACGUCAGUCCAGGAAACAUGUAGAUGCUGUUUCAGGGUGUUCCAUUCCAAGAAUGUGGUUUCUUUCUGUAUGUGGUUUCUUUUAAAUGUGCAAUCCUUUACUGCCCAGGUUUGGGAAAAGAAAAAAAUAAAGAUGCAUACUUGUAAUUAAAACCGGGCCAUGGGAGACUGUUUAUAGAACAGUAAAAUGUUUAAAAAAAAAAAAUCAGAACAUCUCAGCCCCCCCAAAGGAGAAGCCAUUUAUUUUUCUUCUAUAUAAUUUAUGCAAUGCCAAAGCUGCGUGAACCCUGGUGAUGGGGCCUCCGCAGGCGUAGACCGUCUGCACUGUCAGCGCCGAGGCAUACGGCCAGUCUUCUGCCAAGCUCACUUGUCAGAGAUGGCGUUAAUUCUCUCCCUGCACUUUGGUGAAGAAAUCAUUGUCAGCUGAGGCCACUGACAGACUGAAUCAAGAUCCCGAGAAUUUACUGCUCAGUGGUAUGAAGCAGAGUCCACUGGUUAGAAGUGUGGGUCAUAUUAAACAAACCAGACAAAAACUGGCUGCUGCUAUCUGCACCCACCCAUGCUUUGAUGAACUUAAUCCUGAGGUGUUAAUAGGAAACUGAAAAGAAUUUGAAAGAUUAGAAUAAACAGUUGCAACAGUAAGUCAAAGAUACUGCCAUAUUUUAUCGCUGCAGAAUCAGGGUCAACUUGUUUCCCCCAAAUGCUUUCAUCCAAGAGGCAAAGCCAGUCAAAGCCCGUUCUUCUGGAUGGGAUUUGUUUUCAUCAUUAGCCGGUUUGUUUCUGUCAUUGGAGGUUAUUUUUGCAGGGGCUUAGGAAGGCCACUCAAGCUUGUUUGGUAUCUUCUCCUUAUUCUUUAGCGUCUGGAUAACCUUCCCCUCAUCUUCUCACUCCUGAUCCCCCUCCCGACAGUGUCUAGAACUUUAUUCCUACCUCCUCUCUCAAGAGUAAAUCAUUACUUCCUCCCAAGAAUGACAGGGCUUCUUGACUUCGGGGACCACUGCCUCUGUGUGUCUCACCCAUUCUCCCGUCUGCUGGAUGAGUCUGGAGCUGGGGUCAUCACACUGGAACUUGAGCAAACUUCUGUGAAGCUCUGAUCAUAGGGACAUUUGGAGACACUCAAAAACUUUCAUCUUGACCCCCACAUGUUCCCCCCAUAAGAAUGUUUUCCCUUAAACUUUGAGAGAUGAGUCAGAGAUAGCAAAAGUGAGAGCUGGAAAAAAUGAGUCUCCCUGGAGACCUGGCAGUGAAAGUCUGCCUUCAAAGCAAGCUCUUCAUGGAA